UACGUAGGGUGCGAGCGUUGUCCGGAAUUACUGGGCGUAAAGAGCUCGUAGGUGGUUUGUCACGUCGUCUGUGAAAUUCCGGGGCUUAACCUCGGGCGUGCAGGCGAUACGGGCAAUACUUGAGUGCUGUAGGGGAGACUGGAAUUCCUGGUGUAGCGGUGAAAUGCGCAGAUAUCAGGAGGAACACCGAUGGCGAAGGCAGGUCUCUGGGCAGUAACUGACACUGAGGCACGAAAGCGUAGGGAGCAAACGGGAUUAGAUACCCCCGUAGU
rnacentral:rRNA from 1 species